AGUAAAUAGAUACCCAGGUAGUCCACGCCGUAAACGAUGAAUACUAGGUGUAGGAGGUAUCGACUCCUUCUGUGCCGCAGUUAAACACAAUAAGUAUUCCGCCUGGGGAGUACGGUCGCAAGAUUAAAACUCAAAGGAAUUGACGGGGGGCCCGCACAAGCAGCGGAGCAUGUGGUUUAAUUCGAAGCAACGCGAAGAACCUUACCUAGACUUGACAUCUUCUGCAUUAAUCGUAAUGGAUGAAAUCCCUUCGGGGACAGAAUGACAGGUGGUGCAUGGUUGUCGUCAGCUCGUGUCGUGAGAUGUUGGGUUAAGUCCCGCAACGAGCGCAACCCCUAUUAUUAGUUGCUAACAUUAAGUUGAGCACUCUAGUGAGACUGCCCGGGUUAACCGGGAGGAAGGUGGGGAUGACGUCAAAUCAUCAUGCCCCUUAUGUCUAGGGCUACACACGUGCUACAAUGGUGGGAACAAAGAGAUGCAAUACCGCGAGGUGGAGCUAAACUC
rnacentral:rRNA from 1 species